rfam:Populus trichocarpa isolate Nisqually-1 chromosome 11, whole genome shotgun sequence.
UAAUCUAUUUGAGGCAACUCUUCAUCUAGUUGUGGCAGACAUACACCUGGUUACUCAAAAUCACCCAUUUUGACAAUGGAGGAACUUCAUAAUCCUUU